AUCCGCCGCCGCCACGCGUCACCGAAAGCCGUCGCCGACCAACGAAACCGCCAUCGUCGGCCAAUCCGACGAGGCCACCCGGCGCCGCUUCUCUGCAUUUAAAUCGAAGCACGCUGUGCCGUCGCCGGUUUCUCUUCUAUCCACCGCCUCUCGCCGCCUAUAAAAGGACGACGAGGUUCCCUCUUCCUCCCCACACAAACCGAGCUCCUCAAGCUCUCUCUCUUUCUCUCCCAUGUCCGGCCAUUAGUGCCACCGGCAGAUCUCCCUCACCGGAGUUUCGCAAGCCAAGCCCUUGCGCCACCAACUCCGCCUCGCCGAGGUGAUUCCAUUUUUCCCAUUUCCCCUUUUCCUCCACCUUGAGAUAAGCCGCCGCCACCACCACCUUCUCUUAUCGCCGGAGCUGAGCUCUUGUCGCCGCUGUUCCGGCCACCCCUCUCUCUCCCUCCGCCUUCCACCACCCUCCCCGGGUGCGCGUUGCUCGGGAACACCAUCUCCAACCGGCGUUCUCACCUCCAGGCCACCGGAGAGCCGGCGCCUUGCUUGCCCUCCUCUCUGUUACCUCUCAGCUGCCAAACAGAAGAAAAAAAAAAGAACGAGAGGAAGAACAGGAAGGAGAAGGCAUUGACAAACAAUACAGAAGAUCUCAUCGACAUCACAGGAGCUGGCGUGGAUCCAGCCGACUACGCUGAAGCCUUCGAAAGUUUCAAGGCACAAGGCAAGACAAUUAAAAUUUUGAGCACAUUAAAUAAUCAACCCCCAUAUUUACUUUAUGCAUAAGUUAAUCAUAUGAAUAACACUAUGGUGGUUUCAAAUGAUAUAUAAUGCUUUUAAACAUUGUUAUAUGAGAUUAUGGAAAGAUACACUGAACAUCAUUUUAUGUGGUUUACUAUUCAAACAUCUUUUACAAACUUAGAAUUCGGUUAAAAUGGGCAUUUGUGAAUGUUGAUAUAUGAUGAAGUUUGUUGGUGUGGGGAGUUUGGAAAGUUUUGGGUGGUUUAACCGGAUUAUAAUUACCCCCUUAUACCAUAGAAAUGACAUAGUUGCGUCCAUCCACACGAUCAAGUAAUUGGACUUAGCCUAGUACAUUGUCCCACUAUAUGAAAGACUGUUGGUUGGCUCACUAGAAGCAGGAUUGGGGUAAACGCAUGUGUAAGGAGGUUGGGGGCAUGGUUAACAACGGUGGAACCCGUGAAAGCAGCAACCAAGUAGCCUUGCUUAGGCCCAGCAAGUGCCCGACUGCUAGGACGGAUCAAUAUCCCACUCGUGCAGUAACUAGUAGUAAGUGGGACCUUCGAACGGCUCUGGUGUCCUCAGCCUUGCAAACUGUUGACAUCGUGUGGGUAAAGCUGGACAGUCUCUGCAGAGGUGAAUUAAAUCAUUUGAAUGUCCGUACUCCCGAUUCUGGAGUUGUGUCAUAAGGGUGAUUCCUACUCCUGACAUAUAAGUAGUUUUAAACAUAAAAUAGUGGUAAAGAUAAUGAGAAUUUGCUGUUAUAUUUAUUUUCUCUUUAUUUUAAUAUCUUAUGCUUAGAAGGAUCAUAUUUAAAUUUCCAUGAUUAUGUUCAUAACAUAUUAUAAGUGUCUUGCAGAGUACAUAAGUACUCAUUCUUGAAUUAUUUAACAUAUAGAAGAACCGUGUUAUGAAGAAGUCCCAGAAGGUAGCGAGGCCUACUACAACGACGAGUUUUUCUAGGCUUAAUCUAUACUCAAGCUUAUGCCUGUGAAGUUUAGUAGCUUUGGGUUUUUCUUUGUACUUUCAAAUAAGGUUGUAAUAGUUUGUAUCUUUAAAACCAUUAACAGUUGUAUAAUUAGUUUGCAUGAACAAAUUUGUAUAAUUAAUCGAAAGCUGUUCUGUAUAUCAAUCUGUGCGUGAUCGAAAUCCUGGACGAUCACGAGUGGACUUUCGGGGCACCAAGCCUAAAUUGGGUGUCCCCAC